AUAUUUAAAUCCACUGCGUAAUAGGUCGUGUAUCAAAAACAAUUUUUUCACGGACUAUACCAUAUGUUGUUAGAGAAGGCAUGUCACUUUCCUCUAAACUAGAAAUAGUUAAACUUGAGACAUUUUCACAAGAAGGUUUAAUUGAAAGUCUGCCUUUAAAAUAAAAAAAAAUGUCACCAUAAUUGAGAAUGAAACAAUGAUUAACGGAUGCCGCUUUUACCUACUGACACUAAAUCAAUGAUGGACUCGGUUUGUGGUAGUGAAAGAAAGUGUGGUGCACAAGUGUCACGUUGAUCCUUAUCACUGGUGGUAUCAGAGACAAAAUCCUCAUAAAGAGGUGUUAAAGAACCACUGAGUUCCAACAGAACAAAUCGAUUGUUCAAUGCAUUGCGCGUAGCCACCACAGGCAAACCCAUAACUGUUGUUGUCACCAAAAUACAAGAAAACUGUUACAGUGCAUUUGGCUUAAUCUAUUUGUAUAGAAUUGUACCAAUUUUUGAUAAAAUACGUUAAAAUAAGAAAAGAAAACUUUUAUUUAUAUAAAAAAGAAUAUUUUACGUUAACAAAUUUUUAACCAUAUUGUAGUAC